AAAACACGUUCUCAUUUGAUCCCCAAAGUUAAGCAGCAUAAAGCCUGGUCAGUAUUUUGAUGGGGGUUUGCUUGGGAACACCAGGUUCUGUAA